AUGACAAAUGGACCCAAAGACACAUAUUUAUUGAGCAAACAAGCUCAUCAUCUUCUACAUUUGAAAACUCACAUGAGCACAUACAAGUGCAGGCUUCAUCGGGGGGAAAAAAUGCCCAGCACUCCCCUUAAUUGCGGGAACAUUCCAUCCAGAUGCACAGAGCAGCACACCUGUGAGUGUGCAAACAAAGUCUCAGCUGUUAAAGCUGAGGGGCUGCGAAGCAAAGCAACCGUUGGACCAGGCAGCCAGAGGAGGGUGGCAGGGCAAGCAGCUAGACGGCAGCCAGGCCCUGUCUUUGCAGGGGAAUCCGAGGCCACCUUGCCACUUUCACCCUGUCGUGCCUGGAACACGCACAAUCCGCCAGGCCCUGCACUUAAGGCCGCCAUGAGCCUCACCCCGUGGCGACGUCACAGCUUUCGGAGAUCUCAAACCUCAGGUAGCAGACUCUUGUGGGAGAUCCCUUAGAACUGCCUGCUGGCUUGGGGUGAGUUGUUCCCUCUGGUAAGGUUUCCAUCUGAAUUCCUCCUGGGGAUAUGGGAUAUCAAGCACUGUGUUAGGCAUUCAGAGGGACAAUUAUGAACCAGACACGCUCCCUGCCCUCAAGGAAUUUAUAGUCUAAUAGGGAAGAGAGAGAGCAGACAGCUAAUCACAACAUAGAAUGCUGAAAGCUGGAAGUCCUGGGGAGGAGAGAGGAUGAGCAUCUAAAUCAUUCUGGAGGGUCAGGGCAGGCUUCCAGAAAGGCAUGAUGUGUGAGUUGAAGAAUGAGUGGGAGUCAGCGAGUGCAGGAGAACAGGCAAAGGUUAUUCCAGACAGACAGACUUUUGCAGGAGUAAGGUUUGCUAACAGAGCCUAAAAAAACUAUUUAUAAUGCACAAAUGUUGGAGAAUCAAAAAUGGGAAGUUGAUCAAUACAAGCAAAACCCGACCCUUCGGAAAGACCAUUACAUGGACAGAAGUUAGCAAAUAUGCCCCCCAAAUCACCAGAGCUAAAGGAGAUGGAGAAAGGGAGAUAGAGGAAGAAAAAGGGGAGAGGGGAAGAGAAAGAGUGAAGGGGGGAUGGGGGGCGGGGGUAGGCAUUGUAGUGUAGCAGGUUAAGCUGCUAUCCCAUCCCUCCCUCCUUCUCUCUCUCUCAAAUAAAUAAAAAUCAAAAAAUGAAGUAUUGGAGAAU
rnacentral:lncRNA from 1 species